UUUGUCCUGCGAGGGUCAUCAAUCAUUAAGAUGACAUCCGAUGAGUCCUAUAAUUUACCAGUGACACCUAGCAGUAUGUAGUAGCAAUCCAGUAGAAUGAAAGUAUGAACCCCUAGGCGCAGUUAUCAUAUGAUUUAAUCCUUCUAUCGUGAGUCCCAACUUGAUGGAGGUUAUGAAAAACUUUUCAAACCCCAUCGUUAGUCAUAUGCAAGAUUGGCUCGACUCGAGUUCACUUGUGAAGCCUGUGAAAACUCUUUUCCAGUAUUCACUCUUGCUCUAGCCAG
rnacentral:lncRNA from 1 species